rnacentral:tRNA from 1 species
UUAAUUGAAGCCAAAAAGAGGCAUAUUACUGUUAAUAAUAUUAUUGGAUAAAAUCCCAAUUAAA